rnacentral:rRNA from 1 species
CUACGGGGUGCAGCAGUGGGGAAUAUUGCACAAUGGGCGAAAGCCUGAUGCAGCCAUGCCGCGUGUGUGAAGAAGGCCUUCGGGUUGUAAAGCACUUUCAGUAGGGAGGAAAGGGUGUACGUUAAUACCGUGCAUCUGUGACGUUACCUACAGAAGAAGCACCGGCUAACUCCGUGCCAGCAGCCGCGGUAAUACGGAGGGUGCGAGCGUUAAUCGGAAUUACUGGGCGUAAAGCGUGUGUAGGCGGUUAUUUAAGCGAGAUGUGAAAUCCCGGGGCUCAACCUCGGAACUGCAUUUCGAACUGGAUGACUAGAGUUUUGUAGAGGGUGGUGGAAUUUCCAGUGUAGCGGUGAAAUGCGUAGAGAUUGGAAGGAACAUCAGUGGCGAAGGCGGCCACCUGGACAAAAACUGACGCUGAGACACGAAAGCGUGGGGAGCAAACAGGAUUAGAUACCCGGGUAGUC